rnacentral:misc_RNA from 1 species
AACAUCGCGCACCUGCGGGAACCUGCGGAAGGAUCAUUACCGAGUGAGGGCCCUCCGGGUCCAACCUCCCACCCGUGUUUAACGAACCUUGUUGCUUCGGCGGGCCCGCCUCACGGCCGCCGGGGGGCACCCCGCCCCCGGGCCCGCGCCCGCCGAAGACACCUGUGAACGCUGUCUGAAGUUGCAGUCUGAGACACUAGCUCAAUCAGUUAAAACUUUUAGCAAUGGAUCUCAGAUCGG